CCUACGGGAUGCAGCAGUCGAGAAUCAUUCACAAUGGGGGAAACCCUGAUGGUGCGACGCCGCGUGGGGGAAUGAAGGUCUUCGGAUUGUAAACCCCUGUCAUGUGGGAGCAAAUUAAAAAGAUAGUACCACAAGAGGAAGAGACGUCUAACUCUGUGCCAGCAGCCGAGGUAAUACAGAGGUCUCAAGCGUUGUUCGGAAUCACUGGGCGUAAAGCGUGCGUAGGCUGUUUCGUAAGUCGUGUGUGAAAGGCGCGGGCACACCCCACGGACGGCACAUGAUACUGCGAGACUAGAGUAAUGGAGGGGGAAGCGGAAUUCUCGGUGUAGCAGUGAAAUGAGUAGAUAUCGGGAGGAACACUCGUGGCGAAGGCGGGUUCCUGGACAUUAACUGACGCUGAGGCACGAAGGCCAGGGGAGCGAAAGGGAUUAGAUACCCCAGUAGUC
rnacentral:rRNA from 1 species